ACUGAUUUUCUGCACCAUAACCAACCAAUGCUAGAUUUCCAUCUGUUGUAUAGUUACUUGCUAACAAAAUUAUUUGUUCUCUGCAUGAAAUAUGCACUCGGGCUUAACUGAUGUUUCAGGGCAACACAAUGGAAGGCUGUGACAUCUAAUCAAAUAUACAUGUACAGAGAACAACUAAAGGAAGGUCAUCGAAGCCAUUCCAGAGACUGAAAACUUUCCUCUGUUCACGUAUAACGUGAAAUCAUUUGAUGUUCUGCAGUCACGCACAGGGAACAACACCGUUCUAUCAGAUGAUUGUUAAUGGAUAUCACUUCAUAGAAGACGCAUUAAGAGCCAAGGAUGCAUAUUCGCUUAAAAGAUGUUAGGUAUGGCUUUUCGUAUAGGUAGCAAUACUUCAGCAUGCUGUUAUGAAACUGCAUGCGUACUGAUAGUAAACAACCUUUGUUAAGCGGUAAACGCAAGCAUGUUCCCUCUAGGUAUUGCAAGGUAUUACUGAUGUUCUACAUAGAGGGCUACAGAGUAUG